rnacentral:rRNA from 1 species
CUACGGGAGGCUCCAGUGGGGAAUAUUGCACAAUGGGCGCAAGCCUGAUGCAGCCAUGCCGCGUGUAUGAAGAAGGCCUUCGGGUUGUAAAGUACUUUCAGCGGGGAGGAAGGGAGUAAAGUUAAUACCUUUGCUCAUUGACGUUACCCGCAGAAGAAGCACCGGCUAACUCCGUGCCAGCAGCCGCGGUAAUACGGAGGGUGCAAGCGUUAAUCGGAAUUACUGGGCGUAAAGCGCACGCAGGCGGUUUGUUAAGUCAGAUGUGAAAUCCCCGGGCUCAACCUGGGAACUGCAUCUGAACUGGCGAGCUUGAGUCUCGAAGAGGGGGGUAGAAUUCCAGGUGUAGCGGUGAAAUGCGUAGAGAUCUGGAGGAAUACCGGUGGCGAAGGCGGCCCCCUGGACGAAGACUGACGCUCAGGUGCGAAAGCGUGGGGAGCAAACAGGAUUAGAUACCCGGGUAGUC